AGCCUCUUUACAGUGCUGCCUU
rnacentral:miRNA from 1 species